CUCAAUGGCGGGCCGGGCGGGGGCAUCGCAAGAUGCGCCGGUGUCGAUGAGGCCGGUAAGGUCAACUCCGCCCGGUUCUGCCACCAGU
rnacentral:antisense_RNA from 1 species